UGCAGGAUGCUCGAGGCCUAUCGAAAAAAAAGAGACGUCAACCUUAUCUUGCAUAUAUAGCUCUGUGUCGUUUAAAUAUCAAGCAUAACUAUAACGCAGUGGCUAUUCGUACGGCGACCGUAAGAAUAGCAAUUAGGCUAUUCGUACGGCGCGCCGUAAAAAUACCACAUUAGUCUAUUUUCACGGCAGGUUAUGGUUAGGGUUAGGGUUAGGGUUAUUAUUAUAAUUAAUUACUAUAAUUACGGUCGGCCCGGUUAGGGUUAGGGUUAGCGCCGAGCAGACUGAUGACCGUACUCAAGUACGGUCACGUGACAAGCUCGGUCGCCGUACGAAUAGCCACUGCCUAACUAUAAUAUACAAAUUAUAUUCACCGUGUAUAUAUAAUUGCUAUUCACUUGUAUACAUUCUCGCUGUACCUUUAGAUACCUCCCUUCCUCUCUCUGGAUGGGAGCUUCGUUGGUAUUUGAAUCGCCAUUGUAGCCACGAAAUCUGAUACUAUGAAAUGACUUCUUUGUUAUGUAGAUUCCGUUAACUGUCUUGCAGUCUCCACGAUGGUCACUCCAACUCGCCUAUGUCACCUUUGCAUUAACUACCCACAAUGCGAACGUUUACCUAUAAAAAUCUCGUUCACCCAUUGUCUCACUGAAUGUAUCCUUGGUAGUGUAGCAGGAUAGAGGUGCUAUCCAUGUUAGUCACGGUACAAGUACCACUAGUGGCCGUCAUGAUGUGGGCGGUAUAAAAGCAGCCGUCCUCCACCUGCCUCUUUCUCUUUUGCGCUCCUGUCACUUGCGCGUCACUUCCGGGCCAAAAGGUGGUCUGGUCCGAUAGGGCGACUAUUUGUUGCUGCUUCAGGGUUUUUGUGCGAGCUGUGGUGUAAGUUCUUGUAAACGCUGAUGACGGCCGGAGUCCUCUCUCCCUCCCUCCUCCUGUGUGAACGGGAGUGUGUGUGUGUGUGUGUGCCCGUGUUUGGUCGUAAACAGGACCAACUGCAAUCAGCUCAUUGGGGUCGCUGCUGCUUUGCCAGGCUGAUAUUGUCUUUCCACGCUACUCCGCUUCACUGUUGCUGCACGCCGCGUUGUUUACUUCACGUGCUUUGCUGGCUGAUAUUGCCUUUCCACGCUACUCCGCUUCACUGCUGCUGCACGCCGCGUUGUUUACUUCACGUGUUACACCACCGGCCGGCAUCUCGUGCCUACUGCCGCCUGUCGCUGCGGCGCACCCCCCUCCCGAGUAGUGCUACCAAGGGUGCUCAUCCAGUGUGUCUUUUAACCGGGGUUGCCCCCCCCCCAUCCGUGUGUGCAUGAGUGUUAAUGUGUGUUCUAAUUAUUUGAAUGGUUUGUUUUCUUUUGGUUUGAUUACUCAUUUAGUUUUGCGUUUAUCUCAACUAUUUUGUGCCUAUUGUUUGUUUUCUUUUGAUUUGAUUACUCAUUUAGUUUUGCUUUUAUCUCAACUAUU